rnacentral:rRNA from 1 species
GAUCCUGGCUCAGGAUGAACGCUGGCGGCGUGCCUAACACAUGCAAGUCGAGCGAGAAAUAAAGAAAUGAAGCUUCGGUAGAUUUUCUUUAUGGAAAGCGGCGGACGGGUGAGUAACGCGUAGGCAACCUGCCCUGUACAGGGGGAUAGCCACCCGAAAAGGUGAUUAAUACCCCAUAACGCAAGAGAUACACAUGUAUCACUUGUCAAAGAUUUAUCGGUAUAGGAUGGGCCUGCGUCUGAUUAG